rnacentral:rRNA from 1 species
UACAGAGGGUGCGAGCGUUGUCCGGAAUUACUGGGCGUAAAGGGCGCGUAGGCGGCUUGAUAAGUAGGAGGUGAAAUUCCAUGGCUCAACCAUGGAUCGGCCUUCUAGACUGUCAGGCUUGAGCACGGUAGAGGCAGAUGGAAUUCCCGGUGUAGCGGUGGAAUGCGUAGAGAUCGGGAAGAACACCAGUGGCGAAGGCGGUCUGCUGGGCCGUUGCUGACGCUGAGGCGCGACAGCGUGGGGAGCAAACGGG